rnacentral:lncRNA from 1 species
CAGGAACUGGAUUCCCUCUCUUUGCCCCCUCGAUAAAAGUGCUGCCAAUAAUCCAUGGAAAGCCCACCGGGUUCUGGGUGAGACACAUCGCAGAUACUGCCAGAAGGUUAGUCUUUUUCAUGGGGUAGUUUCCCCUUGUGAAUAGUCAGGAGGACAAAAAUCCAGUUAGGAGUAACACGUGGAUGAAAUUUCUUCACUUAAAAAGAGUUGGCGUAACUUUUUCUCUGUUGAAACCGCGUAGUCAUUUCUUUCUUUCACACAAGAAGAUGGAGUGAUACUUAAAAUACAGAAGAGAGGCUUCCAUGAGUCCGGCAGCUCCAUCCAUUAAACCAUACAAAGCAGAAGUAUUUAAGAGCUUGCUAGCAGUCCUCUGAAUCCACGACUCAAGAGGAUGAGCACGGGGUUAGCAAUAAUCUUCAGAAUCCACCACCUACUCACCGCACGUAACAUUUCUUGUAGUUAGCGACCUUCUGCGUAGGAGAUCACCAGCUACCGGCAAUGAAUCCGUAAUUCCAAGGACUCACACGUUCAGGCAAGUAUAUGGAUGUGUAUCCCUAAAUACAAGGACAGAGAUCUUCUGUGACAGUGCGUCAGGAGGAGACUGGAAAUACUUUUGCUUUCUGUAUUGAGAGUACUUUCUUUCCUUUUAAAGAGGAAGUUUCGUUUUGAUCUUGAGAAAUUCUCUCUGAUAAAACCACCAACUGAAAACCUGCCAUUAUGAACGAGGGAUUUCACAACCUUCAUUCCAAAACACUGUGGCUAUUCAUUUCUGGAAGUGAUUCAUUGCAAAAGAAUCGUCUUUGGCGGCGGAGGGAGCACUAAUUUUUAGAAGACAGCCCGCCCUCUGAGAAGUGAGCAGAAACCUCAGAAACGGCGGCAGCCACGUGCCUCGCUGACCCCCCGUCACAGCUCCCUGAAUCACCAUCCACCAAGAUGACACGCGAUGACCAAUUUCCUCUUCUAACUCCCUCAGUACACAAAAAACCCUUUGGUCUGUACACCCUGAAUAUUCCCGGGCUCUGGCAGAAAGGUUCAAAUAAAUCUGGGAGGAGGGCAGCAGCACUGUCAACCUGUCAACGCUCAGUUGCUGGCGAGUAACCAGCAUACGGAUUCUCACUUCCUGUGAGUACUUCUAAAAGAGCUUAUGAUAUUUCCUUUGGAAAAAAAAAAAGUGGGGAGGAAAGCAAUACAGGGAGGAGAAGUAACUCCAACGAGCAUUCAAAGCUAAAAGCAUGCAACGCGAUCGCUGUUUACCAGCCACGCCUAAUUUUAAUUUGGUUUUUCAACCCCUGUGUAAUUAAGACAGCCAAGAGAGAACAGCAUCAG